rnacentral:rRNA from 1 species
GCCGCUCAGAACUAAAUGAAUUGACGGGGCCGCACAAGCGGUGGAGUAUGUGGUUUAAUUCGAUGCAACGCGAAGAACCUUACCUGGUCUUGACAUCCCGGAGACCCUUAGGAAACUAGGGGGUGCUUCCAUCUGGAAGAAUCUGGAGACAGGUGCUGCAUGGCUGUCGUCAGCUCGUGUCGUGAGAUGUUGGGUUAAGUCCCGCAACGAGCGCAACCCUUGCCUUUAGUUGCCAGCAGUUCGGCUGGGCACUCUAAAGGGACUGCCGGUGUUAAACCGGAGGAAGGUGGGGAUGACGUCAAGUCCUCAUGGCCUUUAUGACCAGGGCUACACACGUACUACAAUGGCCGAUACAAAGGGCAGCGACACUGCGAGGUGAAGCCAAUCCCGUAAAAUCGGUCUCAGUCCGGAUUGGAGUCUGCAACUCGACUCCAUGAAGUUGGAAUCGCUAGUAAUCGUGGAUCAGCAUGCCACGGUGAAUACGUUCCCGGGCCUU